UACGUAGGGACCAAGCGUUGUUCGGAUUUACUGGGCGUAAAGGGCGCGUAGGCGGCGUGACAAGUCACUUGUGAAAUCUCCGGGCUUAACUCGGAACGGCCAAGUGAUACUGUCGUGCUAGAGUGCAGAAGGGGCAAUCGGAAUUCUUGGUGUAGCGGUGAAAUGCGCAGAUAUCAGGAAGAACACCCGUGGCGAAGGCGGCUCUCUGGGACGGUACUGACGCUGAGACGCGAAAGCGUGGGGAGCGAACAGG
rnacentral:rRNA from 1 species